GGGGGAGGCAGUGCAGGAAGGCUGGGCAAACAGUAGUGUUGUUUGCUCUGCUGAUUGGGCUAGGACAACUAGGGUGAAGAUCACGGGAUGUCAACACAGGGGCGGCAUUUACAGUUCACUGUCAGUCCCUCACUGUCACCUGUGUCACCAACGACAUCCUCAGCUCUGCUGAAGGACUGCUAACCAUGGGACAAUGAAUCUUCUCUUUGUGGCCCAGACUGCGUGUUUGCGCUGGCUAACCAGGAGGGCGGCAGGUCUAAUCCGAGGAGGAAAUCAUUGAAUGUUCCAGUGCUCAUUUGAGAAGGCUUCAAAUGCGUGGCCCCCCACUGUUCAGGCCCCUUGAGUGCAGGCCCCUUGAGUGCAGGCCCCUGGGACACGUUGUAAAGACGACACCGCAUUUCUUCUUCACACUCUCUGAUCUGAGUUGUUAGCUCUGAGGCUAAAUGCGUGGUCUUGUGAAGAGGAGCUGCAAUGAGAAAAACAGGUGAGCUCUUUAACUGGAGUUUCACAGCUAUUAAAGUGCCAACACACCGGGUCGCCAUGGUGAUGAGCGCAGGGCUUCUGGGGAGUCAGCAUUUUUGUUAUUGAGUGGUGGAUGUUUUUGGUUUUGGAUGCCCCAAAUUGACUUAUGACAUGAAAAGCUGUCUCUGGCUUUAUUGGAUUAGAUUUCAACAGGUUCUGUUUGCAUUUAGGAAGAACAAUUGAAGUUUGAGCUAUUUGCCCAGCAUAUGAACACGGUCACAGUUUCAUGCUAAUAAAUAUGCUGCACAUGAUGUUUUGAACAUGAAGACCCUUUUCUAACUUUAGCUAGUUGAAAUAAAAGUAAAUUCAACAAAACACAGACCAACACGGUCACUGAAACAAUGCUUAGAGAAGUACUGUUCAAGUUUUGUCCUUAAUUCCAAGAUGUUGCUUUUUGGUUUGACAACAGAAACUUUAUAUAUAUGAGCAUUAAAAGACCUUCACAUCCAGUC